rnacentral:misc_RNA from 1 species
ACACCUCAACUCUCAUGGUUUGCCAUGAUGAGCUUGGACUUUGGGGGUCUUGCUGGCCUAUUGUCAGCUCCUCUAAAAUGAAUCAGCUUGCCAGUGUUUGGUGGCAUCACAGGUGUGAUAACUAUCUACACUUGUGGAUUUCCAUCAGAUGACCUUCAGCGAUGAAGGUUCGCUGGGGCUCAUAAAUGUCUCUCCUCAGCGGAGAUGGCUCUUUUGAAU